UGAGCAAUCUGCCCUUCACAUCGGAAUAACCAUUGGAAACGAUGGCUAAUACCGAAUAUGACUUCGGAUCGCAUGAUCUGAAGUGGAAAGCUCCGGCGGUGAAGGAUGAGCUCGCGGCCUAUCAGCUUGUUGGUGAGGUAAUGGCUCACCAAGGCGACGACGGGUAGCCGGCCUGAGAGGGCGACCGGCCACACUGGGACUGAGACACGGCCCAGACUCCG
rnacentral:rRNA from 1 species